UACGGAGGGUGCAAGCGUUAUCCGGAGUUACUGGGUUUAAAGGGUGCGUAGGUGGGUUGGGAAGUCAGUGGUGAAAUACUUUCGCUUAACGAAGGAACUGCCAUUGAUACUAUCAAUCUUGAAUGUAGUGGAGGUAGGCGGAAUGCGUCAUGUAGCGGUGAAAUGCUUAGAUAUGACGCAGAACACCAAUUGCGAAGGCAGCUUGCUACACUACUAUUGACACUGAGGCACGAAAGCGUGGGGAUCAAACAGG
rnacentral:rRNA from 1 species